rnacentral:ncRNA from 1 species
AACGAUAUAUCAACUGUAUAACCUCUGGAAUAUGGCUAGAGGGUAUCUACCAGGAGCCUUAAAAUCCUGACUACAGAAAAUGAAUUUAU